rnacentral:lncRNA from 1 species
UCUAGAAUAGGAAAAGGUAGAUGCAAUCUAGUGUUCAUCCUUUAAACUUCAAUAUAGUCAUCAAUGAUGCACGGAAUGGUACCACAAAACUUGAAAGAUAAUAAAUCGAAAGGAAAUGAGACUUUCAGCUUCUUACUUGAUUAAAAGGUUUAGUAUCAACCAAUAAGAGAAGGACAAGAGAAUGUAAAGGACGAUACAAAACUUAAUUACCAAAUCAAACUUUUCAGCUUCUUACUUGAUUAAAAGGUUUAGUAUCAACCAAUAAGAGAAGGACAAGAGAAUGUAAAGGACGAUACAAAACUUAAUUACUAAAUCAAACUAUGUGAUCAUAGUAAACGAUGACCUGUAUCUGUGAGAAGCUCAAGAUAAAAUUUUAUCAUACAACUUGGAGUUGU